GUGAUCCCGGGGAGUUUUAGUGCUUACACAUAGUGUAGGCUUUUGCCAUUGGCAAAUACCUUGGAGAAUAAGUGGUGGGUAAGACCGGUGCCAGCAGCCGCGGUAACCCCGGCGCCACGAGUGGCAAUCUUGUACUUGGCCUUAAGCAUUCGUAGCCGGUUUGAAAAAUCCUUUGUGAAAUUGUUGAACUCAAUACAACAGCGUGCAGGGGACACUUUCAGACUAGAGACUGGGAGGAGUUGGGGGUAUUUCUAGGGGAGCGGUUAAAUGUGAUAAUCCUGGAAAGACCACCUGUGGCGAAGGCGCCCAACUAGAACAGUUCUGACGGUGAGGGAUGAAAGCUAGGGGAGCGAUCCGGAUUAGAUACCCGAGUAGUCCUAGCCGUAAACACUGCCAGCUAGGUGUCGCAUAUUCUACGUGAAUGUGCGGUGUCGAAACGAAGGUGCUAAGCUGCCGCCUGGGAAGUACGGUCGCAAGACUGAAACUUAAAGGAAUUGGCGGGGGAAUACACCAGGAGUGCGGCGUGCGGUUUAAUCUAACUCAACGCAGAGCACCUCACUAGAAGCGACGGCAGGAUGAAGAUCAGUCUGAAGGGCUUAUCUGACGAGCCGAGAGGUAGUGCAUGGCCGCCGUCAGCUCGUGUCGUAAGAUGUCCAGUUAAGUCUGGCAACGAGCAAGACCUGUAUCUAUAAUUGCUAACGGGAUCUUCGGAUUGACUGAGCUCAUUAUAGAGACUUGCCUUCGUAAGGAGGAGGAAGGUGCAGGCAACGGUAGGUCUGUAUGCUCCGAAUCUUCUAGGCUACACGCGCGCAACAGUGGUACCCACUGGGAUGCAACACCGUAAGGUGAAGCUAAUCCUCGAAACUUUAUCGUAGUUUAGAUCGUGGACAACUCA
rnacentral:rRNA from 1 species